UACGUAGGGGGCUAGCGUUGUCCGGAAUCAUUGGGCGUAAAGCGCGUGUAGGCGGCCCGGUAAGUCCGCUGUGAAAGUCGGGGGCUCAACCCUCGAAAGCCGGUGGAUACUGUCGGGCUAGAGUACGGAAGAGGCGAGUGGAAUUCCUGGUGUAGCGGUGAAAUGCGCAGAUAUCAGGAGGAACACCCAUUGCGAAGGCAGCUCGCUGGGGCGGUACUGACGCUGAGGCGCGAAAGCGUGGGGAGCGAACAGG
rnacentral:rRNA from 1 species